GGUGAUUCAUGAUAACUUCUCGAAUCGCAUGGCCUUGCGCCGGCGAUGGUUCAUUCAAAUUUCUUCCCUAUCAACUUUCGAUGUUUGGGUAUUGGCCAAACAUGGUUGCAACGGGUAACGGAGGGUUAGGGCUCGACCCCGGAGAAGGAGCCUGAGAAACGGCUACUACAUCCAAGGAAGGCAGCAGGCGCGCAAAUUACCCAAUCCCGACUCGGGGAGGUAGUGACAAUAAAUACUGAUACAGGGUUCUUUUGGAUCUUGUAAUUGGAAUGAGUACAAUUUAAAUCCCUUAACGAGGAACAAUUGGAGGGCAAGUCUGGUGCCAGCAGCCGCGGUAAUUCCAGCUCCAAUAGCGUAUAUUAAAGUUGUUGUGGUUAAAAAGCUCGUAGUUGAACCUUGGGCCUGGCUGGCCGGUCCGCCUCACCGCGUGUACUGGUCCGGCCGGGCCUUUCCCUCUGUGGAACCCUAUGCCCUUCACUGGGUGUAGCGGGGAAACAGGACUUUUACUUUGAAAAAAUUAGAGUGCUCCAGGCAGGCCUUUGCUCGAAUACAUUAGCAUGGAAUAAUAAAAUAGGACGUGUGGUUCUAUUUUGUUGGUUUCUAGGACCGCCGUAAUGAUUAAUAGGGACAGUCGGGGGCAUCAGUAUUCAAUUGUCAGAAGUGAAAUUCUUGGAUUUAUUGAAGACUAACUACUGCGAAAGCAUUUGCCAAGGAUGUUUUCAUUAAUCANGAACGAAAGU
rnacentral:rRNA from 1 species